UACGUAGGUGGCAAGCGUUGUCCGGAUUUACUGGGCGUAAAGGGCGUGCAGGCGGUUCGUUAAGUGCAGGGUGAAAGCUCCCGGCUCAACUGGGAGAGGUUCUUGCAUACUGGCGGACUCGAGGGAGGCAGAGGAAAGUGGAAUUCCCGGUGUAGUGGUGAUAUGCGUAGAUAUCGGGAGGAACACCUGUGGCGAAGGCGGCUUUCUGGGCCUUACCUGACGCUGAGACGCGAAAGCGUGGGGAGCGAACCGG
rnacentral:rRNA from 1 species